rnacentral:rRNA from 1 species
UACGGGGGGGAGCAAGCGUUGUUCGGAUUUACUGGGCGUAAAGGGCGCGUAGGCGGUCAGCACAAGUCAGUUGUGAAAAUCUCCGGGCUUAACUCGGAAAGGUCAACUGAUACUGUGCGACUAGAGUGCAGAAGGGGCAACUGGAAUUCUCGGUGUAGCGGUGAAAUGCGUAGAUAUCGAGAGGAACACCUGCGGCGAAGGCGGGUUGCUGGGCUGACACUGACGCUGAGGCGCGAAAGCCAGGGGAGCGAACGGG